rnacentral:rRNA from 1 species
GAUGAACGCUAGCGGCAGGCCUAACACAUGCAAGUCGAGGGGUAUUUGGAGCUUGCUCCAAAGAGACCGGCGCACGGGUGCGUAACGCGUAUGCAAUCUACCUUAUACUAAGGGAUAGCCCGGAGAAAUCCGGAUUAAUACCUUAUAGUUAAUUUGGUUGGCAUCAGCCGGAUUAUAAAGAUUUAUCGGUAUAAGAUGAGCAUGCGUCCCAUUAGUUAGUUGGUGUGGUAACGGCAUACCAAGACGAUGAUGGGUAGGGGUCCUGAGAGGGAGAUCCCCCACACUGGUACUGAGACACGGACCAGACUCCUACGGGAGGCAGCAGUGAGGAAUAUUGGUCAAUGGACGCAAGUCUGAACCAGCCAUGCCGCGUGUAGGAUGAAGCAUCUAUGGUGUGUAAACUACUUUUGUACGGGAAGAAAAAGAAUUACGAGUAAUUUAUUGACGGUACCGUAAGAAUAAGGAUCGGCUAACUCC